rnacentral:lncRNA from 1 species
GCCAAUCAGGACCGAUGCUCACAGUGACAACACUCACGCUGAGGAUAUUGUGGGUUAGAAGAGGAGCAUGGGUAAAAUAGAGGAGAGCAGGAGAAGUAAGAGAUGAGAUGAGAGGAGAGGGGAGAGGAGGAGGAGGAGGAGGAAGAGGAGAGGAGGAGGAGGAGGAGGAGGAGAGGAAUGAGAGGAGUACAAGGAAGCGGAAAACGGACGCACGUCACGAGCUGAUGGUGACAAACCGGUGCAAUCUCACAUUAACACCUCAACAAUCAAAGAUCUUUGAGUUGAUCAAAUUAUUGUGCACUCUAGCCUACAGUUUGUUUAGAGGAUUUACAGUUUGUUUAGAGGUUUACAGUCUGUUUAGAGGUUUACAGUUUGUUUAGAGGAUUUACAGUUUGUUUACAGUUUGUUUAGAGGUUUACAGUCUGUUUAGAGGGUUUACAGUUUGUUUACAGUUUGUUUCGAGGUUUACAGUCUGUUUAGAGGGUUUACAGUUUGUUUAGAGGGUUACAGUUUGUUUAGAGGUUUACAGUUUGACAGCGCCACUUUUUCUACAGACAAACAUUAGUCACAGGAUUGCAAAGGGAAGGUCAGAUGCAGAUAAGGGGUCUAUGAGAGGGGGUCUAUGAGAG